UCUUGCUUAAAUGAGUAUUC
rnacentral:snRNA from 1 species